UCUCUCACAUUUGCUUCACGCUUGCUUUGUCUCAUGUUUGCUCCUUACACUAUCUAACGUUUGACUUUCUAAACAAAACUCUCAAAUUAGACAGCUAACACCAAACCCAUAGAAGAACCAGACAACGACACACCCAUAACCUUAAAUUGGUGGCGCUUCUUCUCAUCCAAUCCAACUCAUCGGCUUCAUUCUCUAGCUUCUUCUCUUCCAAACCAUCCUUAAAUCGGCAACGCACUCAUAUCCAAUCCAACUCGGCGGCGCUUCUUCUCUUCCAUUCUAAAUCGGCGGCACCACCCACAAUCUUCAAGUUCUCUCUUUACAUAUGAUUAACACUGAUAUGGGUUUAUAUUAUUUCUCUAAACUUUGUGGGUUUAAGCUAUUAUUUUUUUGUUUGAGUUUCGGUUCUUAUAUAUUUGACAAAUUAAUCUAUUCUGGUUUAUUUUUUCCCCUAUUUUCUUCUUCUUCUUCCAUUUUUGUUUAUAUUUUUUAUAAAAUAAUCUUGAGUUUGAAUCUGGAAAAUUCUACAAGAAGUAUUUAACUUAGGAGUACAGUUAUGUGUAAGUUCAAAAUAGCUUAAAUCUUUUUUUACCUGCUUGCCCAUUUUGAUAACAAUAUAAGGAUCACUGCAUCUGACAUCCUCACAUCCUUGACUGCAAGGUUUACCCCUCUAUGGACCUUCCUGAGGUUUGUAGUCAUAUCUUGGCUUUCCUUCGUGGUAAGUCCUUUACAACUCUGUUGGUAAUAUGAGUUCUUUAUAUUAGGUCCUGUAUUUUUUUUCUUCCUUGUAUGAUUAUGAGAUCGUGUUAACUUAGCAACUUGUCAUGGACAUAUCUACUUGAGAUUCUUUACCUGUUUCAUGUAUUUGUUACAAUAUGACAUGAUUUGGGAUAACUUUUGCUCGUUGUCUAUGUGGUCUAUAAUUACAUUCAUUAGGAAAUGAUUUUAGAUAACUUUAGCUAUUCACCAGAUACCAGUAAAAGAGAGCUGAUGACUUCCAAGGAAGACAAAUAGUUUUUGGUUCUUAGAAGUUAUUUGGGUGAAAUUUAAUGGGUGGGGAAGGUACUUUUUGGAAGAAAAAAUGCCAACUAAACUGCCUUAUUUAUCAUUAUGCCUUUUGUUUCUUCUAUCAUAAAUGUGAACACUACAUAAUCUGCAUUAUUUACAAUAUAUGCAUGACAUAUUAGGGGAUAUGUGCCAAGACACAAAAUGUUGCUGAGCAACCAAAACUAAUCUGCUUUCUGUAGUUUUGUAUUGAAAUCAUGCAUUAGUGUUUUGCUUGUUUAUGUUGAGUGUGGUCCUUAGCAUUUGACUUUUGUGAUAUAAGAAACUGGUAAACCAUUCAAUACGGUGGCUUGAAUGGUUUAUAAGAUCAAUAAGGGUUUAAAGAGGGGAAAAGUUAUUUUUUCUUUUUCUGAGAUAUUUGCAUCAGGUUUUGGAAUGGGGAAGGGGAAGAUAUGUCAAUUUUUUUGCAUGGGUCCAUAUGUGUGAUAGACUUAGUGCCAUCAAAUGAAUGUAUUGCAGUGUUUUCUUCUUUUCUAUAUAUCAUUCUUUUGAGGUCUCAAGCAGGUUAUAAUUUACAUCCUUUAACUGUUAUUGCAAAAGCCGAAACUCCCAAGUAGGCAAGACGCCAAUCUCAUCUGGUAAUGAACAAGGUAAAGAAAGAAAUGGGAUUGCUGGGACAAGCCAGAUCACAGUUGGCUAAAAUCUAUUUAUUUAGAGAAGGCCCCUUAGUUGGACAAGGCACCUGUUGUAUUUCCUUGAUUCACAAAGUUGCAUUUGGCUGUGGCUUAAGAAAUGCAUAAACAAAACUAAGAAGAAGUCCAGGCUUUAGAUAGAGCACAUCGAGAGUACUAUGAUAUGAAGAUGAGGAUGCAAGCCGAUAUUAAAGAUCUGUUACUAAAAAUGAAGCUACAAGACAAUCUUGAAUUGUGAUUAGCCGAUCAGUAGGUCUUUCUAUAGAAUUGUCAUCUUCUCAGGGGAGAUGCUUGAAUCAACAAAACCGAGGAUGACUAGCAGCUUGGCUACUCUGGCUUCUACGUCUCAUUUAUCAAGAGUUGAGGAAUUGAAAGGCAGCAGUGAUGAGAGGCCUGCUCUAUUUAAUGGCAACCCCUUUAAGUCAACAGUGAUUGAACUAGCCAGUGGUUCAAAAAUAGGUCUUCAGAAUCAACCAGAUGCAGAGCUAACAACACCUAUUUCCAAGACCAAGAAGUCUCUCCCUUCUUAACCAAAAGAAUAAAUUAUGAAAGUAGUGUGUGAAUGUACAAAAUUCUAUAAUAAUCUUUAUUUUCUGAUGUGCUGUAGAUGGAAGAAACCACUUUUAUUUGGAUAAGUUUGUGAUAUACUGUUGGGCUUUAUAGUAAAAUCUUUAGAUCUUAUACUUACAA